AUUUAUGAGUAAUUACUUCUAAACUCGAGCGUAUGAUUAUUUUAGUUCGUAUUAUGUGAUGAGGCCGUUAGCAACUGUUGCCAAGAAGGUAACAACGCCGCCAUUACGAAAGUUGGUUGGGUCUGUCAACAAACCGACAUUGAAGCAUUUACUGAUAACAGCCAUAUCAUACAUCCUUACUUGGUUGCUAUGUUCACCAGUGCAGAGUUUGGGCCUUGUUGCCAUAGCAACUCAGAGCUUCAUGCCAGACAUGCAGGCCCUCAACCUAAGCAGGAUACAACAGAACUCACCUGCUUCUCAACAACAGUCAACACAGGGUGCAACUAGUAUAGUACAAUCUAGUCAACAAUCUCAGCAGAAUCAAUGUGUUUAAAUCAUGCUUUACUAUAUCAAGUGUCCUGUUAUGAAGAUGUCUAUCAUCAUAAUUUGAAAUGGAAAUAAUGAUUUCUCGGACUCAAACACAAGUAUCCUCUAGCCAGUCUGCGUCUGUUCAGACCGUAGUUUCAGUAGCCCAGAGCCAGCAACAGUUACAGGCAUCUCAAGGAUCCUCAACACCUUCCACAGUUGCAGUAACUCAAGUUUCUGUGCCUGUUGUGCAUUCUCCUUCUCAACAACAACAAUCACAGAGCCAGCAACAAAGUGGGACUGUAGUUUCGACCCCAGGCACUCCUCAGUUUAUUGCAGUUGCAGGUCUGUUUUCAUUAUAAAACAAUUUUAAAAUAUUUUCUCUUAAUUAUUUAUGAUACAUUUUUAUGAGUUGCAUCUACUUUCAUAAUAUUUGAUUUGAUAUAUGAAGUUUAACAAAAUACUAUAUUUUGCUUUUUGAU
rnacentral:lncRNA from 1 species